rnacentral:rRNA from 1 species
CGCGUAGACGGUUUUGUAAGUCAGAUGUGAAAUCCCUGGGCUCAACCUGGGAACUGCAUUUGAAACUGCAUGGCUAGAGUAUGGAAGAGGGAAGUGGAAUUUCCGGUGUAGCGGUGAAAUGCGUAGAUAUCGGAAGGAACACCAGUGGCGAAAGCGACUUCCUGGUCCAAUACUGACGUUCAUGUGCGAAAGCGUGGGGAGCAAACAGGAUUAGAUACCCUGGUAGUCCACGCCAUAAACGAUGACAACUAGAUGUUGGGAGGGUCUGCCUCUCGGUGUCGCAGCUAACGCGUUAAGUUGUCCGCCUGGGGAGUACGGCCGCAAGGUUGAA